rnacentral:rRNA from 1 species
ACGUAGGAGGCAAGCGUUAUCCAGAGUUACUGGGCGUAAAGCGCGUGCAGGCGGUGCGAUAAGUCGUGCGUGAAAGCUCCCAGGCUUAACCGGGAGAGGACGUGCGAGACUGUCGGACUAGAGGCAGGUAGAGGCAAGUGGAAUUCCGGGUGUAGUGGUGAAAUGCGUAGAGAUCCGGAGGAACCCCGGUGGCGAAAGCGGCUCUCUGGUUCAAUACUGACACUGAGAUGCGAAAGCGUGGGGAGCGAACGG